rnacentral:rRNA from 1 species
CGUAGGUGGCAAGCGUUAUCCGGAUUUACUGGGCGUAAAGGGUGUGCAGGCGGGGGUUCAAGUGGUGUAUGAAAUCACCCAGCUCAACUGGGUGCGGUUAUGCCAGACUGGACUUCUAGAGGACGAGAGAGGGGCGUGGAAUUGACGGUGUAGCGGUGAAAUGCUUAGAUAUCGUCAAGAACACCGAUAGCGAAGGCAGCUUACUAGACUGUAACUGACGCUGAUGCACGAAAGUGUGGGGAUCAAACAGGAUUAGAUACCCUGGUAGUCCACACUGUAAACGAUGAUUACUCGAUGUUGGCGAUACACAGCCAGCGUCUUAGCAAAAGCGAUAAGUAAUCCACCUGGGGAGUACGCCGGCAACGGUG